CCUACGGGAGGCAGCAGUCGAGAAUCAUUCACAAUGGGGGAAACCCUGAUGGUGCGACGCCGCGUGGGGGAAUGAAGGUCUUCGGAUUGUAAACCCCUGUCAUGUGGGAGCAAAUUAAAAAGAUAGUACCACAAGAGGAAGAGACGGCUAACUCUGUGCCAGCAGCCGCGGUAAUACAGAGGUCUCAAGCGGUGUUCGGAAUCACUGGGCGUAAAGCGUGAGUAGGCUGUUUCGUAAGUCGUGUGUGAAAGGCGAGGGCUCAACCCGCGGACGGCACAUGAUACUGCGAGACUAGAGUAAUGGAGGGGGAACCGGAAUUCUCGGUGUAGCAGUGAAAUGCGUAGAUAUCGAGAGGAACACUCGUGGCGAAGGCGGGUUCCUGGACAUUAACUGACGCUGAGGCACGAAGGCCAGGGGAGCGAAAGGGAUUAGAUACCCGUGUAGUC
rnacentral:rRNA from 1 species